UUUUUUUUUAAUCCAAGUGGCCUAAAUGACACAAGACCAGUGUUCACAUUUAUUUCCACACAGUGCUAAUUUAUGACAGUUGUAUUUAUUUUCUGCCAUAUAGCCUCUUUUCUAAUUAAGAGAACCACACCUUAUUCCUAACUUAUUACUAUUAAUGACAGCACAGGCAUCAAAUUUUAAGGUGACUUGUUUGGGCACCCCUUUUUCUUCUGUUUUAGCUAACACUUUACUCAUAUCAUUUAUGAGCCCCAACCAGUCCUCAGUCCUUAAUCUUAUUUAAAAAACUGUCCCUCCAGGGUUCAAGCAAUUCUCCUGCCUCAGCCUCCAGGCAUGCACGACCACGUCCAGCUAAUUUUUGUAUUUUUAGUAGAGACGGGGUUUUGCCACAUUCAUCACAUUUGUA
rnacentral:lncRNA from 10 species